rnacentral:rRNA from 1 species
CACGUAGGGCGCAAGCGUUGUCCGGAAUUAUUGGGCGUAAAGAGCUCGUAGGCGGACUGUCACGUCUGCUGUGAAAAGCUGGGGCUUAACCCUGGCCUUGCAGUGGAUACGGGCAGACUAGAGGUAGGUAGGGGAGAAUGAAAUUCCCGGUGUAGCGGUGAAAUGCGCAGAUAUCGGGAGGAACACCGGUGGCGAAGGCGGUUCUCUGGGCCUUACCUGACGCUGAGGAGCGAAAGCGUGGGGAGCGAACAGG